rnacentral:rRNA from 1 species
AUGAACGCUGGCGGCAUGCCUAACACAUGCAAGUCGAACGAAGGCCCAGAGCUUGCUUUGGUGUCCUUAGUGGCGGACGGGUGAGUAACGCGUGGGAACCUACCUUGGAGCGGGGAAUAACUAUUGGAAACGAUAGCUAAUACCGCAUACGCACUUCGGUGGAAAGGAUUCGGCCACUCUAAGACGGUCCCGCGUCUGAUUAGCUUGUUGGUGAGGUAACGGCCUACCAAGGCUGCGAUGGUUAGCUGGUCUGAGAGGAUGAUCAGCCACGCUGGAACUGACAUACGGUCCAGACUCCUACGGGAGGCAGCAGUGAGGAAUUUUGCGCAAUGGGGGAAACCCUGACGCAGCAACGCCGCGUGAGUGAUGAAGGCCCUUGGGUCGUAAAGCUCUGUCAAGUGGGAAGAACCUGAUCUAUGCCAAUACCAUAGAUCACUGACGGUACCACUGAAGGAAGCACCGGCUAACUCCGUGCCAGCAGCCGCGGUAAUACGGGGGGUGCAAGCGUUAUUCGGAAUUAUUGGGCGUAAAGGGAGCGCAGGCGGUCCUGCAGGUCAGAUGUGAAAGCCCGGGGCUUAACCCCGGAAGUGCAUUUGAAACCGCAAGGCUUGAGUAUGGGAGAGGGUAGUGGAAUUCCUGGUGUAGAGGUGAAAUUCGGUAGAUAUCAAGAGGAACACCGGUGGCGAAAGGCGACUUCUCUGAGACCAAUACUGACGCUGAGGCGCGAAGGCGUGAGAGAGCAAACAGGAUUAGAUACCCUGGUAGUCCACGCAGUAAACGGUGAAACACUAGGUGUAGCGGGUAUUGACCCCUGCUGUGCCGCAGCUAACGCAUUAAGUGUUCCGCCUGGGAAGUACGGCCGCAAGGUUAAAACUCAAAGGAAUUGACGGGGGCCCGCACAAGCGGUGGAGCAUGUGGUUUAAUUCGACGCAACGCGAAGAACCUUACCUGGGUUUGACAUCCCGAGAAGUCUCUUGAAAGAGAGAUGUGCCCUUCGGGGAACUCGGUGACAGGUGCUGCAUGGCUGUCGUCAGCUCGUGUCGUGAGAUGUUGGGUUAAGUCCCGCAACGAGCGCAACCCCUGUCUCUAGUUACCAGCAUUAAGUUGGGGACUCUAGAGAUACUGCCCCGGUUAACGGGGAGGAAGGUGGGGAUGACGUCAAGUCCUCAUGGCCUUUAUGUCCAGGGCUACACACGUGCUACAAUGGGCUGUACAAAGGGUUGCCAACCUGCGAGGGUGAGCUAAUCCCAGAAAGCAGUCCUUAAUUCGGAUUGGGGUCUGCAACUCGACCCCAUGAAGUCGGAAUCGCUAGUAAUCGUGGAUCAGCAUGCCACGGUGAAUACGUUCCCGGGCCUUGUACACACCGCCCGAAGGG